UUUUGACUUGGAUUGAAAAAAAAAUUACCUCUGCGGCGCUGCUUCCGCCAAUUUUUCCUCUUUGGCGCCACUUCCUGUGCCCCCGCUGCCCCGCUACGGCUACUUCUUCCUCUCCAUCGCUCGACCUCUUCAAUCCGUCCAAAGUUAGAAACUUCUCUUGGAAAUCUAGAAUUUGGAGCAAAACAUAGUGUUGAGGAAAUUCUAGAACAGAGUUGCAAGGAGAUCAAUACCUUGUCUCACUCUUCGCAGCUGACGAAAGGGAUUUUCAUGUCCGGAUGAUUGGGAGCAUGAGGUGAAGAAAAUGUGGGCUGAAAAAGCUGCAAAAAUAUACUCGAGUUUUAUUAGUACCUUGAAGAAGAUGUACACAAACGGUAAAUCCCGACCCAUUUACGUACCUCAGGAGAUGUGGAGUGGAUUGAUUGACCUCUGGAAAGUUGAAAAUGUUAUCAAGAAGUCUGAAGCGGCAAAGAAGGCAAGAAUGUCUGAACCAGAUGGACGUACCUGGCACUAGAAUAAGCAAGCAACGAGGAGGGUCAUUGUCUGUCAAUGAGAGAUCUAUGCAAAAGCCUGCCGAAAAGGGAGUCUCGAUGAUGGAUUGUGUGCAUGACUGGUUUCAAGAGAUACACUCGUUCAAGGAUGGUCGGCAUACAUACAAGAAAGCUGCAGAUGUUGAUCUUAAAAAGCCUUGUGCGUGGCAGCUCAGCAGGAACUCCAGGAAUUAAUGGUCAUGCCUCGACCGGCUUAGAUCCUUCAGUUCGAGCCGAGAGGAAUUGCGUCAAGAAUUGCGGAAAGAAUUACGACAAGAGGUGCAAGAGAUGGUGAAGGAGAUCAUGAUGACGCCGCACAAGUCCAGCCACAUUUCUGAUUCAGCAAGUAUAUGAUUGACACAUAUCACAAACUUGAUAUGAUGUACUGUACUUCUUUUGAACAGCAUACUACCUAUUAUACUUCUAUUGUCUUAACUACUUUUAUCCCCAGUCAUCACAAUUUUUGGAUUUAAUGUUUAUAUAAUAGAUUUAAUGUUUAUUUAGUA